rnacentral:rRNA from 1 species
CCUACGGGAGGCAGCAGUGAGGAAUAUUGGUCAAUGGACGAGAGUCUGAACCAGCCAAGUAGCGUGAAGGAUGACUGCCCUAUGGGUUGUAAACUUCUUUUAUAUGGGAAUAAAACAGGGUAUGCAUACCCUCUAGUAUGUACCAUAUGAAUAAGGAUCGGCUAACUCCGUGCCAGCAGCCGCGGUAAUACGGAGGAUCCGAGCGUUAUCCGGAUUUAUUGGGUUUAAAGGGUGCGCAGGCGGAAUGUCAAGUCAGCGGUAAAAUUUCGGGGCUCAACCCCGUCGUGCCGUUGAAACUGGCGUUCUUGAGUGAGCGAGAAGUAUGCGGAAUGCGUGGUGUAGCGGUGAAAUGCAUAGAUAUCACGCAGAACUCCGAUGGCGAAGGCAGCAUACCGGCGCUCAACUGACGCUCAUGCACGAAAGCGUGGGUAUCGAACAGGAUUAGAUACCCCAGUAGUC